rnacentral:piRNA from 1 species
UCCGGAGAGAACUAAGAGUAU